UACGUAGGGGGCGAGCGUUGUCCGGAUUCAUUGGGCGUAAAGAGCUCGUAGGCGGUUCAGUAAGUCGGGUGUGAAAUCUCCGUGCUCAACACGAAGCGGCCACCUGAUACUGCUGUGACUCGAGUCCGGUAGGGGAGUGUGGAAUUCCCGGUGUAGCGGUGAAAUGCGCAGAUAUCGGGAGGAACACCAGUAGCGAAGGCGGCACUCUGGGCCGUGACUGACGCUGAUGCGCGAAAGCGUGGGGAGCAAACGGG
rnacentral:rRNA from 1 species